rnacentral:lncRNA from 1 species
GUGAUCGUCGAAUCUGUUGACCUGGCGCCACCGGAAAAAGAAAUUCCCGGGCCCUGGCUUCUUGGCCUGAUGGUGCUAAAGUGGAGGGCCUCCCAUGGGGUGUUCAGCCUGGGUGUGUAGAAGCACACAGUGUGGUACAGAGGACCCUCUCCAGACAGGUGACCCCUCAUGCUGCUGCUCCCUCUGCUGAAACCCAAACUGCAAACCUCUCCUCUCCCUGCCUUCACCUUGCCCCACGGCUUCCACAGACAGUGCCUCAACCCCGAGGAAUGAAUCCGAAGUUCCAACACCACUGACUUUCCCAGGAACUCAGAGCCAGAGAGGGCCAAGGACCAGCUCGAGGACACACAGCCAGGGCUUCUUCCCUCCGAAACCCCCAAGGACUGGACUUGCAGGGCUGGGACAGAGGUGGGGUGGGGGAAAGCAAUGCCUUGUCAACCCACGUGGGGAGCCCCACUCCCAUCCCCAAGGUGCAUAAAGUUGAGGAACACCCCUGCUCCCACGUCCAUGCUCAUUCAGGGCCCUGCUCCAAGUGCUUGGCACUCACACCAG